rnacentral:piRNA from 1 species
UGUGGGACCAAUGCUUUUUGUGCCUG